rnacentral:rRNA from 1 species
AGUCGAACGAGAAAUGAAGACGGAAACCUUCGGGCGGAAGGCUUCAUUUCGAGUGGCGGACGGGUGAGUAACGCGUGGGUAACCUGCCUCAUACAGGGGGAUAACAGUUGGAAACGACUGUUAAUACCGCAUAAGACCACAGCACCGCAUGGUGCGGGGGUAAAAACUCCGGUGGUAUGAGAUGGACCCGCGUUCGAUUAGCCAGUUGGCGGGGUAACGGCCCACCAAAGCGACGAUCGAUAGCCGAUCUGAGAGGAUGACCGGCCACAUUGGGACUGAGACACGGCCCAAACUCCUACGGGAGGCAGCAGUGGGGAAUAUUGCACAAUGGGGGAAACCCUGAUGCAGCGACGCCGCGUGAGUGAAGAAGUACUUCGGUAUGUAAAGCUCUAUCAGCAGGGAAGAAAAUGACGGUACCUGAGUAAGAAGCCCCGGCUAACUACGUGCCAGCAGCCGCGGUAAUACGUAGGGGGCAAGCGUUAUCCGGAUUUACUGGGUGUAAAGGGAGCGCAGACGGUUGCGCAAGUCUGAAGUGAAAUCCCGAGGCUUAACCACGGGACUGCUUUGGAAACUGUGCGACUUGAGUAUCGGAGGGGCAGGCGGAAUUCCUAGUGUAGCGGUGAAAUGCGUAGAUAUUAGGAAGAACACCGGUGGCGAAGGCGGCCUGCUGGACGAAAACUGACGUUGAGGCUCGAAGGCGUGGGGAGCAACAGGAUUAGAUACCCUGGUAGUCCACGCGGUAAACGAUGAAUACUAGGUGUUGGUGCCCCAGGGCAUCGGUGCCGUCGCAACGCAAUAAGUAUUCCCCUGGGGAGUAC